GGCCAGACUCCUACGGGAGGCAGCAGUGGGGAAUAUUGCACAAUGGGGGAAACCCUGAUGCAGCGACGCCGCGUGGAGGAAGAAGGUCUUCGGAUUGUAAACUCCUGUCCUUGGGGACGAUAAUGACGGUACCCAAGGAGGAAGCACCGGCUAAAUACGUGCCAGCAGCCGCGGUAAUACGUAUGGUGCGAGCGUUGUCCGGAUUUACUGGGCGUGAAGGGGGCGCAGGCGGCGCGCCAAGCCCGAUGUGAAAGCCCGGGGCUCAACCCCGGGACUGCCCUUGGAACUGCGUGGCUGGAGUGCAGGAGGGGCAGGCGGAAUUCCUGGUGUAGCGGUGAAAUGCGUAGAUAUCAGGAGGAACACCGGUGGCGAAGGCGGCCUGCUGGACUGCAACUGACGUUGAGGCCCGAAAGCGUGGGGAGCAAACAGGAUUAGAUACCCGCGUAC
rnacentral:rRNA from 1 species